GUAAAAAGUAGAAUAAUAGAUUUGAAAUAUUUAUUAUAUAGAUUUAAAGAGAUAAUCAUGGAGUAUAAUAAUUAAAUUUAAUAAAUUUAAUAUAACUAUUAAUAGAAUUAGGUUACUAAUAAAUUAAUAACAAUUAAUUUUAAAACCUAAAGGUAAACCUUUAUAUUAAUAAUGUUAUUUUUUAUUAUUUUUAUAAUAAGAAUAAUUAUUAAUAAUAAUAAACUAAGUGAACUGAAACAUCUAAGUAACUUAAGGAUAAUAAAUCAACAGAGAUAUUAUGAGUAUUGGUGAGAGAAAAUAAUAAAGGUCUAAUAAGUAUUAUGUGAAAAAAAUGUAAGAAAAUAGGAUAACAAAUUCUAAGACUAAAUACUAUUAAUAAGUAUAGUAAGUACCGUAAGGGAAAGUAUGAAAAUGAUUAUUUUAUAAGCAAUCAUGAAUAUAUUAUAUUAUAUUAAUGAUGUACCUUUUGUAUAAUGGGUCAGCAAGUAAUUAAUAUUAGUAAAACAAUAAGUUAUAAAUAAAUAGAAUAAUAUAUAUAUAUAAAAAAAUAUAUUAAAAUAUUUAAUUAAUAUUAAUUGACCCGAAAGCAAACGAUCUAACUAUGAUAAGAUGGAUAAACGAUCGAACAGGUUGAUGUUGCAAUAUCAUCUGAUUAAUUGUGGUUAGUAGUGAAAGACAAAUCUGGUUUGCAGAUAGCUGGUUUUCUAUGAAAUAUAUGUAAGUAUAGCCUUUAUAAAUAAUAAUUAUUAUAUAAUAUUAUAUAAAUAUUAUAUAAAGAAUGGUACAGCAAUUAAUAUAUAUUAGGGAACUAUUAAAGUUUUAUUAAUAAUAUUAAAUCUCGAAAUAUUUAAUUAUAUAUAAUAAAGAGUCAGAUUAUGUGCGAUAAGGUAAAUAAUCUAAAGGGAAACAGCCCAGAUUAAGAUAUAAAGUUCCUAAUAAAUAAUAAGUGAAAUAAAUAUUAAAAUAUUAUAAUAUAAUCAGUUAAUGGGUUUGACAAUAACCAUUUUUUAAUGAACAUGUAACAAUGCACUGAUUUAUAAUAAAUAAAAAAAAUAAUAUUUAAAAUCAAAUAUAUAUAUAUUUGUUAAUAGAUAAUAUACGGAUCUUAAUAAUAAGAAUUAUUUAAUUCCUAAUAUGGAAUAUUAUAUUUUUAUAAUAAUAAUAAAAAUAUAAAUACUGAAUAUCUAAAUAUUAUUAUUACUUUUUUUUUUAAUAAUAAUAAUAUGGUAAUAGAACAUUUAAUGAUAAUAUAUAUUAGUUAUUAAUUAAUAUAUGUAUUAAUUAAAUAGAGAAUGCUGACAUGAGUAACGAAAAAAAGGUAUAAACCUUUUCACCUAAAACAUAAGGUUUAACUAUAAAAGUACGGCCCCUAAUUAAAUUAUAUAAGAAUAUAAAUAUAUUUAAGAUGGGAUAAUCUAUAUUAAUAAAAAUUUAUCUUAAAAUAUAUAUAUUAUUAAUAAUUAUAUUAAUUAAUUAAUAAUAUAUAUAAUUAUAUUAUAUAUUAUAUUUUUAUAUAUAAUAUAUAUAAUAUAAACUAAUAAAGAUCAGGAAAUAAUUAAUGUAUACCGUAAUGUAGACCGACUCAGGUAUGUAAGUAGAGAAUAUGAAGGUGAAUUAGAUAAUUAAAGGGAAGGAACUCGGCAAAGAUAGCUCAUAAGUUAGUCAAUAAAGAGUAAUAAGAACAAAGUUGUACAACUGUUUACUAAAAACACCGCACUUUGCAGAAACGAUAAGUUUAAGUAUAAGGUGUGAACUCUGCUCCAUGCUUAAUAUAUAAAUAAAAUUAUUUAACGAUAAUUUUAUUAAAUUUAGGUAAAUAGCAGCCUUAUUAUGAGGGUUAUAAUGUAGCGAAAUUCCUUGGCCUAUAAUUGAGGUCCCGCAUGAAUGACGUAAUGAUACAACAACUGUCUCCCCUUUAAGCUAAGUGAAAUUGAAAUCGUAGUGAAGAUGCUAUGUACCUUCAGCAAGACGGAAAGACCCUAUGCAGCUUUACUGUAAUUAGAUAGAUCGAAUUAUUGUUUAUUAUAUUCAGCAUAUUAAGUAAUCCUAUUAUUAGGUAAUCGUUUAGAUAUUAAUGAGAUACUUAUUAUAAUAUAAUGAUAAUUCUAAUCUUAUAAAUAAUUAUUAUUAUUAUUAUUAUUAAUAAUAAUAAUAUGCUUUCAAGCAUAGUGAUAAAACAUAUUUAUAUGAUAAUCACUUUACUUAAUAGAUAUAAUUCUUAAGUAAUAUAUAAUAUAUAUUAUAUAUAUAUUAUAUAUAAUAUAAGAGACAAUCUCUAAUUGGUAGUUUUGAUGGGGCGUCAUUAUCAGCAAAAGUAUCUGAAUAAGUCCAUAAAUAAAUAUAUAAAAUUAUUGAAUAAAAAAAUAAUAUAUAUUAUAUAUAUUAAUUAUAAAUUGAAAUAUGUUUAUAUAAAUUUAUAUUUAUUGAAUAUAUUUUAGUAAUAGAUAAAAAUAUGUACAGUAAAAUUGUAAGGAAAACAAUAAUAACUUUCUCCUCUCUCGGUGGGGGUUCACACCUAUUUUUAAUAGGUGUGAACCCCUCUUCGGGGUUCCGGUUCCCUUUCGGGUCCCGGAACUUAAAUAAAAAUGGAAAGAAUUAAAUUAAUAUAAUGGUAUAACUGUGCGAUAAUUGUAACACAAACGAGUGAAACAAGUACGUAAGUAUGGCAUAAUGAACAAAUAACACUGAUUGUAAAGGUUAUUGAUAACGAAUAAAAGUUACGCUAGGGAUAACAGGGUAAUAUAACGAAAGAGUAGAUAUUGUAAGUUAUGUUUGCCACCUCGAUGUCGACUCAACAUUUCCUCUUGGUUGUAAAAGCUAAGAAGGGUUUGACUGUUCGUCAAUUAAAAUGUUACGUGAGUUGGGUUAAAUACGAUGUGAAUCAGUAUGGUUCCUAUCUGCUGAAGGAAAUAUUAUCAAAUUAAAUCUCAUUAUUAGUACGCAAGGACCAUAAUGAAUCAACCCAUGGUGUAUCUAUUGAUAAUAAUAUAAUAUAUUUAAUAAAAAUAAUACUUUAUUAAUAUAUUAUCUAUAUUAGUUUAUAUUUUAAUUAUAUAUUAUCAUAGUAGAUAAGCUAAGUUGAUAAUAAAUAAAUAUUGAAUACAUAUUAAAUAUGAAGUUGUUUUAAUAAGAUAAUUAAUCUGAUAAUUUUAUACUAAAAUUAAUAAUUAUAGGUUUUAUAUAUUAUUUAUAAAUAUAAUAUAAUAAUUAUUAUUAUUAAUAAAAAAAAUAUUAAUUAUAAUAUUAAUAAAAUACUAAUUUAUCAGUUAUCUAUAUAAUAUCUAAUCUAUUAUUCUAUAUACU
rnacentral:rRNA from 1 species